UUCUCAUGCACUGAUUCGCUAGCUGAACAGCCAAUCAGAGUGAUUUCUUUGGCCGACUGCCCAAAGUCGCCUUUUUUCGACUAAUCGGCCUGGUGUGUCCGUGCCUUAAGGCUCUGACCCGGUCCAACCCAGGUUAACUAACCUGGGUUAUCUAACCCUCUCUAAGGCUCUGGAGGCCGCUCUCUCUGAGGCGCGACGCCAACAUCCUGAACUUUCCGUCACUCGAGUCGUCGUCCACAAAGAGACCGAGGUUUCUCCUGAUCAUGUGACCGAUUAGUGACAUCACAGGACUGAAGCUACAAGACUGCAGGAUCAUGGGAGCAGUGGACACACACACACACACACACACACACACACACACACAGACACACACACACACACACAGAGACACACGCACAAGUCGGUCGACCUCAGUUGAACUCUCAAAGUGAACUCCAGGCCCCGCCCCCUCACAUCUAAUUGGUUGGUAGACUCAAGGUGCUCCAUAUUAAACUUCAGUAGUCUUUUAAUAAAAGUCUUCAUCAUAUUUUCUGAUUUCUGAGUCGCUGAUCCUAAUCAUGUUAGCAUAGCAUCACAUGUUAGCCUAGCAUCAUCUGCACCAGCUUUACCUGGAUGAUAAACAGGAGGUAGAAUUCAUAUUUAUAUUUCUGUCGACUGUACAGCUCCAACAUUAGUAACAGGAAGUGGAACUUUAUUCGGACAUCUGAUGCAAACUGUUACCUGUAAGAUAGCAUGUUUGCUAGCACUGUAGCAGCUAACUGUAUAGCAGCUUAAACUCUGUAUUUACCCACAAUGCAAUAGUAAUGUGCCAUUCUUCUCACCAUGGAAACCCUGUUAUUAUUUAUUCACAGUGAUGUUGAUUUAUGUGUUUAUUUAUUAUUGAUCUGUGUUGUAAUCCCAACCCGACAACGUAAAGCUGAGCUUAAACUGUAUGAUGUAAAUUGUACGAUGUUGGCUAGCUAGUCUCUGAAGAAAAGAGCCUCAGAUAAACAACGUAGACUUGUGUUAGCAUAGAGAGUUCAAGAUAAGCUACAUUUAUGUAGAUUUUACAUAUUUAAACUUAAAUGAACACCACUCUGCGCUGAAGUCGCCAUAUAAAUCUAAAAUCUGAUCGGUGCGGGAGAAACAUUGUAAUCAUCGAGCUAACAUCAUUAUCAUUGGGCUAUCAUACACCAGGCUAACACCAGGCUAACCCCGGGUUAACACCGGGCUAACUUCGGGCUAACACCGGGCUAACCCCGGGCUAACCCCGGUCUAACAUCGUACAGAUUACGCUCCGCUCUGCACACUCCCCGAGGGAUUUUUCACCGCUGAACUGAAAUAAAACGAUUAAACUGGA